rnacentral:rRNA from 1 species
UACGUAGGGUGCGAGCGUUAAUCGGAAUUACUGGGCGUAAAGCGUGCGUAGGCGGUUCGUUAAGUUCGUUGUGAAAGCCCCGGGCUCAACCUGGGAAUGGCAAUGGAAACUGGCGGGCUGGAGUAUGGCAGAGGGGGGUGGAAUUCCGCGUGUAGCAGUGAAAUGCGUAGAGAUGCGGAGGAACACCAGUGGCGAAAGCGGCUUUCUGGUCCUUAACUGACGCUGAGGCGCGAAAGCAUGGGGAGCGAACGGG